rnacentral:tRNA from 1 species
GGCGCAGGCCGAGCGCGCCGGUUUCGCCAACCUGCUCGCCUGGAUCAGGCAACCGAUGGAACCGGGCAGCAAUUCCUAAACCGAAGGUCGGGGGUUCGACUCCCUCCGGGACCGCCA